GGAAACACCAUGAUAUGUUGAGGACAGCUACAGUUCACUGACUCUGUGUGUUUGCAUAUCUGUCCUGCCUCUCUGCUCCCAGCCGUUAAGAGGCCAGUGUUGAUCAGUGGCUGUCCAGGCCUUUCAGAGCCACUGACACGCCGGCAGCACAAUGAUGAUGUCACUGAUUCCACUGCUGGCCACCCUGGGGCUCCUUGUUCAGGGUUCAUCAGGACAAAUCAUCCUGACUCAGUCUCCUGGAUCUCAGUCUGUUGUUCCAGGACAGACUGUCUCUCUCAGAUGUAAAACCAGUACGAGUGUUCAUAGUGAUGGUGUCAGCUACCUCCACUGGUACCUUCAGAAACCUGGAGAAGCUCCUAAACUCCUGAUUUAUCGAGCUACAGCCCGUCCGUCUGGAGUUCCAGGUCGUUUUAGUGGACAUGGAAAUGGACCGAGUGACUUCACUCUGACCAUCAGUGGAGUCCAGGCUGAAGAUUCAGGAGUUUACUACUGUCAGCAGAGUUACAGCAGCCCGUUCACACAGUGAUACAACGUCGUACAAAAACCUCCCUCAGCUGGAGAGGAACUGAUCUGACUCAACAGCUGCACUGAAACUAAAACAUUAGAAGCUUCUCUGAAAGAAAACUCAUGAUUGUGUUAAAAAGUUAUAUUUUUAUUGUGGAAAUAUUUUUCAUAGAAUUCAGCAGAGUAUUUUAUUAUUACUGACUAAAAAAAUGGUUCAACAAGGAACUGUAACACAAAACUCUGAAUCAUUUGUUCUGGAGAAAAUGUUUGAUCUUUGACUGAUUUGUUGAGGCGACCUCUUUUUUCAGACUCACUUAGAAAACUGAAUUAGUCAAGAAGAAACCAGAAUGUAACACAAAGUAAGCAGAGAAUUCAAACUGAAGGAUAAAUAGGUUAAUUAGCUAUUUAACACAUUCAAGAAAUGCAUACAAACAACAAAACAACACUUUAAAACAGUAAUGUUCUCUUUAGACCCAAAAUAUUUUACACUUUUGAUGAAGCAGAGAUAUACACUCAGUGUCCACUUUAUUAGGUACACCUGUAAAGCAAUCCAAUGCAAUCCAAUAGAAGCUUUCUGUCAUAGUUUACUUCAGUUUCAAGUUAUUUAUUGUCAAAUACACAACAGUUACAGUGAAGCAGUCAUUGGCAGUUAUCUUUUUAAAUAAUAUUUUUAGUUCUCAGACUCCGUCCAAGAAUGCUCAACGAAAAUCAUAAAAA